rnacentral:lncRNA from 1 species
AGCUACAAACUGAUGGCUCAUUUGAUCAAAGGAGAAGAUAGUGCUCGGCUUCAGUGUCGAGUAUCAAUUUCUUGCUGCUUCCUUCAAGGUAGAUGAAAAAACUCGGCACAGGAUGGCAUCUGGCGCACCAUGGAGCAGCAUUAUUGUCCGAAAGGCCUCCAGGUGGUCAACCGGAUCCGAAGUUCCGUCGUAGCUCUCAAAUUGGGAGAGCUUGAAGUUUGACGGGAUCGGUUCCUGCAUAAUCCUUUGAGAAAAAGGAGGGUCAGUACAGAUAUCCUCACCGU